rnacentral:rRNA from 1 species
CCCUUAGAUGCCCUGGGCUGCACGCGCGCUACACUGAUGUGAGCAACAAGUAUAUUUUCUUGCCUGAAAUGGUGUGGCAAUCUAGAAACUGCAUCGUGAUGGGGCCUGUUCAUUGUCAUUAUUGAUCUUAAACGAGGAAUUCCUAGUAAGCACAAAUCAUCAGUUUGUGCUGAUUAUGUCCCUGCCCUUUGUACACACCGCCCGUCGUUCCUACCGAUUGAAUGGUCCGGUGAAAUCUCGGGACGGCGGCUUGGUCGCUUGCGUCCGACUGCUGAAACUUGAUUAAACCAUAUCAUUUAGAGGAAGGUGAANUCGUANCA